rnacentral:rRNA from 1 species
GAUGAACGCUGGCGGCGUGCUUAACACAUGCAAGUCGAACGGAAAGGCUCCUGCUUGCAGGGGUACUCGAGUGGCGAACGGGUGAGUAACACGUGGGUGAUCUGCCCUGCACUUCGGGAUAAGCCUGGGAAACUGGGUCUAAUACCGGAUAGGACGAUGGUUUGGAUGCCAUUGUGGAAAGUUUUUUCGGUGUGGGAUGAGCUCGCGGCCUAUCAGCUUGUUGGUGGGGUAAUGGCCUACCAAGGCGUCGACGGGUAGCCGGCCUGAGAGGGUGUACGGCCACAUUGGGACUGAGAUACGGCCCGGACUCCUACGGGAGGCAGCAGUGGGGAAUAUUGCACAAUGGGCGCAAGCCUGAUGCAGCGACGCCGCGUGGGGGAUGACGGCCUUCGGGUUGUAAACUCCUUUCGCUAGGGACGAAGCGCAAGUGACGGUACCUGGAGAAGAAGCACCGGCUAACUACGUG